rnacentral:lncRNA from 1 species
CAUCGCCGAAGUGACUUCUUUGUGGGGCUUGGUUUAAGGCGCGUUGGUGCUGGGGGGCCCGAAGGUGACGUUUUUCUGCCAGUCCACACUCCGCAGGCAGUGGCUAACGCCCGAGGAAACCCGUGAUUGAAGACUGGAUUAAACAGGCUCUUUCCCUGACAGCUUAAUAUGUCUGAUAGUCGCCAUGGUAACCAUUUCGGAGUCAUGAAUGACAUCACUUUGAUGUAUUCUCCCUCGGACCCUGCAAAUCCGGAACUGCCAGAGGGGCGCUGAGAGGAUUUGAUGGUGUCGCAGAAAGGGCGGGAAUCGGAAGGAGCGCAUUCCUCUCCCUUCCUCUCCAGAGGCUGGAAUACUGUGAAAUCUUCAUAUGGAAAUCUGUAUUCUACUAAAAAUAUUUGCUUUCUCAAUGGUCCCUUAACAAGUGUUGUUUGUGAUUAAUAAUUUGUAUAGAAAUCUCAGCAUAUAAAAUGUAUGUUAUAGUAGCUGUGAAAUGACAGACACUGCAGGUUUGAGGGCACUUCAGUUCCUAGGAUGGCCAACUGAGCCAUCUUGGGAAAAUGAAACAUCUAGAAAUAUUCUCAUUCCCCAGUUAUCUUUUCCCAUCCAUUUUAUCUGGCUCCAGAAGAAAGAGUUAAAAAUUUUUUUUAUUUAGGCUGGGCGCGGUGGCUCACGCCUGUGAUCCCAGCACUUUGGGAGGCCGAGGCGGGCGGAUCACAAGGUCAGGAGACAGAAAACAUCUUGGCCAACAUGGUGAAACCCUGUCUCUACUAAAAAAAAAUACAAAAAUUAGCCGGGCAUGGUGGCGUGCGCCUGUAGUUCCGGCUACUCUGGAGGCUGAGGCAGGAGAAUCGCUUGAACCCGGGAGGCAGGGGUUGCAGUGAGUCGAGAUCGCGCCACUGCACUCCAGCCUGGGCGACAAGAGCGAGAUUCCACCUCAAAAAAAAAUUUUUUUUUUCUUAGUGGCUCUACUCGACCACCAUACAGCAAGGAAUCGCUUUCUCACGGAGAAUACGUCUCCUGACAUGUGAGCUGACCACAGACUUUACUCAUCUGGGCUACACAUUUUUAAGAAUGGAAGAUGGCGGUAUUAAACGUCAGUAAAAAAUGCAGACUGCUUUUAAUCCACAAAGGAUUUUUCAGCUAAUAACCAAAUAGAUCCACUGUUAAAUAGGCAAAACUUUUCAGUUUGGCCACUAGAGGUCUCUUUGUGCAUGUCUGAUGUUCAACUUUGCACAUAAAGGUUUCACUUCACGUUCUGUUUACCAGUAUUAAAAUCUACAAAGCUUUGGACUCUUUACUUUUCCC